rnacentral:rRNA from 1 species
UACGUAGGGGGCAAGCGUUAUCCGGAAUUAUUGGGCGUAAAGCGCGCGUAGGCGGCUUGUUAAGUCGGAUGUGAAAGGCUACGGCUCAACCGUAGAGCGGCAUUCGAAACUGGCAGGCUUGAGUGCAGGAGAGGUGAGUGGAAUUCCCGGUGUAGCGGUGGAAUGCGUAGAGAUCGGGAGGAACACCAGUGGCGAAGGCGACUCUCUGGCCUGUAACUGACGCUGAGGUGCGAAAGCGUGGGGAGCAAACAGGAUUAGAAACCCCGGUAGUCC